GCCCUUGUGGUGUAGCCUGGACAGCACGUAGGCUUGCGGAGCCUGAAACCCGAGUUCGAAUCUCGGCAGGGGCG
rnacentral:tRNA from 1 species